CCCAAUCAUUCCCAGUCUCUGUUCAAACCUAAGUUAAUUGUCUCUAAUUUGCAUAUUAAUUAAGGUAUCAUCAUAGUAAAAAGGCUUAUAAAAUGAACAAUAUGAUCUGAACAGAAGGAAAGUUCUAGCAUAUAAAAAGCUCAUGCAAAAAGUGUGGGUU